AGAGUUUGAUCAUGGCUCAGAUUGAACGCUGGCGGCAGGCUUAACACAUGCAAGUCGAGCGGAGUGAUGGUGCUUGCACUAUCACUUAGCGGCGGACGGGUGAGUAAUGCUUAGGAAUCUGCCAUUUAGUGGGGGACAACAUUCCGAAAGGAAUGCUAAUACCGCAUACGUCCUACGGGAGAAAGCAGGGGAUCUUCGGACCUUGCGCUAAAUGAUGAGCCUAAGUCGGAUUAGCUAGUUGGUGGGGUAAAGGCCUACCAAGGCGACGAUCUGUAGCGGGUCUGAGAGGAUGAUCCGCCACACUGGGACUGAGACACGGCCCAGACUCCUACGGGAGGCAGCAGUGGGGAAUAUUGGACAAUGGGCGGAAGCCUGAUCCAGCCAUGCCGCGUGUGUGAAGAAGGCCUUUUGGUUGUAAAGCACUUUAAGCGAGGAGGAGGCUACUAGUACUAAUACUACUGGAUAGUGGACGUUACUCGCAGAAUAAGCACCGGCUAACUCUGUGCCAGCCGCCGCGGUAA
rnacentral:rRNA from 1 species